GUAACUAUUAAAGUUUUUCAGACGCUGAUUGCAACUGCAAAUGGUUUAAAUUGUCCAAUCGGCGGGCGGACCCGCCGAGGAAACGUAAGUACUCAAAAGACAUGGGUAAGAGAUAGCAGGCAAAGCCUACAACUCUAGGUAAUGAUCCUUCCGCAGGUUCACCUACGGAAA
rnacentral:misc_RNA from 1 species